GAUGAACGCUGGCGGUAUGCAUAACACAUGCAAGUCGAACGGAAUCUUCGGAUUUAGUGGCGGACGGGUGAGUAACACGCGAGAAUCUGCCAAGAGGUUUGGGACGACAGUUGGAAACGACUGCUAAUACCAAAUAUGCACAACUGUGAAAGGGGUUAACCCCGCCUCGUGAUGAGCUCGCGUCUGAUUAGCUAGUUGGUGUGAUAAGAGCGCACCAAGGCGACGAUCAGUAGCUGGUCUGAGAGGACAACCAGCCACACUGGGACUGAGACACGGCCCAGACUCCUACGGGAGGCAGCAGUGAGGAAUUUUCCGCAAUGGGCGAAAGCCUGACGGAGCAAUACCGCGUGAGGGAGGAAAGCCUUCGGGUUGUAAGCCUCUUUUCUCAGGGAAUAACAAAAUGAAGGUACUUGAGGAAUCAGCAUCGGCUAACUCCGUGCCAGCCGCCGCCGUAAAAC
rnacentral:rRNA from 1 species